UCCCUGAUGGUCCAGUGGCUAAGACUCCAUGCUCCCAAUGUAGAGGACCUGGUUCAAUUCCAGGUCAGGCAA
rnacentral:tRNA from 1 species